GAUGAACGCUGGCGGCGUGCCUAAUACAUGCAAGUCGAGCGAACGGACGAGAAGCUUGCUUCUCUGAUGUUAGCGGCGGACGGGUGAGUAACACGUGGAUAACCUACCUAUAAGACUGGGAUAACUUCGGGAAACCGGAGCUAAUACCGGAUGAUAUUUUGAACCGCAUGGGUCAAAAGUGAAAGACGGUCGUGCUGUAACUUAUAGAGGGAUCCGAGCUGCAUUAGCUAGUUGGUAAGGUAACGGCUUACGAAGGCAACUAUGGCUGGCCGACCUGAGAGGGUGAUAGGCCACCCUGGAGCUGGGCCACGGUCCAGACUCCUGCGGUAGGCCGCAGUAGGGAACCGGCCGCAAUGGGCGAAAGCCUUACGGAGCAACGCCGCGUGAGUGAUGAAGGUCUUCCGAUCGUAAAACUCUGUUAUUAGUGAAGAACCUAUGUGUAAGUAACUGUGCACAGCUUGACGGUACCUAAUCAGAAAGCCCCGGCUAACUACGUG
rnacentral:rRNA from 1 species